ACAUACAUAUCUUGGAAACAUUUAAAUGAAUUUGUCACAACUUUUGAGGAAUUUAUAUUGGAGUUGUCGCUGCAGGGGUGAUGAUUGUAUUUCGUCAAACUGUUGACAUUGAACAUGUUCCAGUAUUUCGUUAGAAUGUAUUCUCUCACUUCGUUCUAUUUCUUGGAUAUGCUCAAGAUUGUCUAAAAUGGUGUUUCAGCGCAGUUUGGGCACUACCUUUCCUUUUUAAAGAUGUUGCCAAUUGACUUGAUAUUAGAUGGCGCAUAUAAUCAUCUCUUCGAGAAUAUGUCCAAGUGCUAACAUGUGUUUUAGUUUCUGUACAUUCAGCAGAAUUUGGGAUUAGUAUAUCCAUGUUAAUUCUUGGACUACAGACUAGGAUGACAGUAUAAUUUUGAUGUGGUGCUUACGUGUAAGAAGUGCGAUUGUGUAGGAUUGGUAAAGCCAACCAGUUAUUUGACAAACGAAGAUCUUAAUACGAGAAAGUGAUGCAGUUCCGCGUAGAUGUCUGCCAGGUACGGUUUGAGUUCUUUGUUUUCACUAGGACAUCACAUACUCAGAUCUCUAACACCAGGCUUCCAUUCCACAUUGCAAGAC
rnacentral:lncRNA from 1 species